rnacentral:rRNA from 1 species
UACGUAGGGUGCAGGCGUUAAUCGGAAUUACUGGGCGUAAAGCGCGCGUAGGCGGCUUUGCAAGUCGGGUGUGAAAUCCCCAGGCUUAACCUGGGAACUGCAUUCGAGACUGCAUUGCUAGAGUAUGGGAGAGGGAAGUGGAAUUUCCGGUGUAGCGGUGAAAUGCGUAGAUAUCGGAAGGAACAUCAGUGGCGAAGGCGACUGCCUGGACCAGCACUGACACUGAGGCACGAAAGCGUGGGGAGCAAACAGG